rnacentral:piRNA from 1 species
GAUCAGCACAGAGUGCUCUGUGAUGUC